GCAUCAGCUGUCUGUUGUCUCACAACUGAAUUCUCUUGGGGUAUCCCCAAAGGUGUUCUCUCAUUGCCUGAAAGGUUCAGAUAAUGGUGGUGGUAUUCUCGUUCUUGGUGAAAUUGUCGAGCCAGGAUUAGUCUAUACUCCACUCGUCCCAUCACAGCCUCAUUACAAUUUGAAUCUGGAAAGUAUCGUUGUCAAUGGACAGAAGCU
rnacentral:misc_RNA from 1 species